UACGUAGGGGGCAAGCGUUGUCCGGAAUUAUUGGGCGUAAAGAGCUCGUAGGUGGUUCGGCAAGUCGGAUGUGAAAUCUCCACGCUUAACGUGGAGGGGCCAUUCGAAACUGCUGUGACUUGAGUCCGGUAGGGGAGUGUGGAAUUCCCGGUGUAGCGGUGAAAUGCGCAGAUAUCGGGAGGAACACCAGUAGCGAAGGCGGCACUCUGGGCCGGUACUGACACUGAGGAGCGAAAGCGUGGGGAGCGAACAGG
rnacentral:rRNA from 1 species